GGAAUCUGCUUGAUAUUCUCUGCCCCCACCCCCGCCCCUACCGCUGCUUAUGGGUGCAUGCUCUUUGGCUUUCUCUCUGUCUCUCUGUCUCAUUCUUGUUCUCUCUUAAAUAAAUAAAUAAAUCUUUCAAAAGAAUAGUAGUACUUACCUCACAGAGAGGUGAAAAGAAUUCACAGAGGUAAUUUUUGUCGGCACUUUGCACAGUGUCAGUGCAUAAUCAGAGCCAAAUAAAUGCUGACUGGUAUUUCUGCCACUACUGCUGCAACCACAGCAUCUACUGUGGUAGAUCUAUUACAUCUACUGUGGUUUUAUUUAUUCCUAACACUAGAGAAAAAAUAACUAAAGGGUAAACCCCCACCUCCCAUUUUUGCUCCUCUCUUAACAGUAAAUCAAGUCAACUAAUGCUAACUUCAAGACAAUUCCUUGGUUUCAAAACAAAUAAGUCAAGGUAUUUGUUUGGAGGGGGUGCUAUUGUUUGCUAAAAUAUAUGUAUAUUCCAUAUUGUCCUUUAGUAUUGGAUCUUUUCUGCUCAGAAUUCCAGGUUUGCCCUCAAAUGUGGUUCAUGUCAAUCAAUCUCUUCAGUCCUAUUUUCUAAACAUUUCAGAAAUUAAAAACUAACAAAUGCAAAGAAGGUAGAAAAAAUUAACUCAAGAUCAAACUGUAAGGUGUUUAUAGAGACUGCAGCCCAUCUAUAAUCCUUGAGAGGACUUAGAGCACAAAGUACUAAUAUAAGUUGAACAAUGUAUGUGGAGUAAGGCCACACUAUGGCUUUGAUUUCAGUGAUAUGCUAAAUGAUCUUGGUAUGGACAGAACUCAAACAGGUUGAUAAAGUAAAAUGACAGACUCAUCCGAAAAAAAAAAAUGUAAACUUUAUGUUAUAAUUAACAUCUAAUGUAAUUGUUAAUGCCUUGGAAAAACAGAUGUUAAGUAAAUAGGCUCCAAUUUUCUUCGUGCUGUUUCUUUAAGCUUUUUCUCUUCUCAUCUGGGGACUUUUUCACUCUAAUACUUUAAGACCAAGUGCCAUUUUAAAACAUUUUAAACUCUCCGGACUCAGUCAGGGGACCAUGCGACUUGAUCUCAGGGUGCUGACUUCAAGCCCCACCUUGGGUGUAGAGAUUACUAAAAAUAAACAAACUUCGAAAAUAAAAUCAAAUAGAAGUUAGAAGUAUGGAAUUAUAAGGGCCCCUCCCGCCAGAGGGAGCCAUUUCCUUGUGGGCUUGGGUUGACCCUGACCCUCCUGGAGUAACUUGCUUGCAGGCCCCAGAUCUGGGGGCGGGCCAGGUCGGAUGGAGCCAUCCAAUCAGUGGGGCACGCAUAUAUUUGCUGUGGUGAGUUGGAAUUUAAUUGGCCACCGGUAUUGCUGAGGGAGGGUGACUGCAGUUUUCCCUGUUUGUUGCAGUCUCAUUGGCCACGUGUGUGGGCGGGGCUCAACCACCUCUAGAAAGAUUAGUCUGCAAGGCAGGGAAGUAGUGAUAGUCGUCUGGGUAGUAGUGGUAGCGUUGGGGUCGUUGGGGUUGUCGGGAUUGUCAGGGUCAUUGGGAGCGUCAUGGGCCUCAACAGGGAGCGGCCUCGCCUCGCUGGGUAAGGGGAGCGGCCUGGCCUCACCAGGUUGAGAAUAUUCCAUUGUUUGGAUGCAUUUAUCCAUUUACUUACUGAAGGACAUCUUGAUUGCUUCCAACUUUUGUCAUUUAUGAAUACAGCUGCUAUGAACUUCUAGGUGCAGGUUUUGUUAUGGAUAAAUUUUCAGCUCAUUUAGGUAA